UAAACGACUCUCGGCAACGGAUAUCUCGGCUCACGCAUCGAUGAAGAACGUAGCAAAAUGCGAUACUUGGUGUGAAUUGCAGAAUCCCGUGAACCAUCGAGUUUUUGAACGCAAGUUGCGCCCGAAACCUUUUGGUUGAGGGCACGUCUGCCUGGGCGUCACGC
rnacentral:rRNA from 4 species